rnacentral:misc_RNA from 1 species
CAACCCUCAAGCUUUGCUUGGUGUUGGGUGAGGUCCUGGAAAGGACCCUCCCGUAACCUGUAGGCGGUCAUCAUCCAUACUCCCCUAGCGUAGCAGGCUCAUGGCACUCGCUAGAGGAUAGGGUGAGACCAUGCCUUUACAAAAACCAUUUCAAAAG